rnacentral:tRNA from 1 species
AAGACCAUAGUCAAUAAAAUGAUAUAUGAGUUGCAUUCAUAAGGUGUUAAUCUUUAACUGGUUUUA